GAUCUUCCCCGUGAACUGUGUCGGGGUUUAAAUCUGUCCCACCCUCGCGUCCGACAGGGAUCGAACAUCCGACGGGUCCGAAUAGUUUCCCCGAUUGCUGCCUAAUUCAGGAAAAAUCUUCAAAAACUUUAAAAUCCAGAAAAUGAAUGAAAUACUUGAAUAUCUUGAUAUUAAAUGAAAUCCUGCCAUGUUCUAAUGUUCAAAACCAAAUAACGAAUGCUAGAAAUAAACUUAUAACUCCAAACUUCCAACUAACAACUAACAUCAGCCACCGGUACAUGUUCAUAAUCACCAAAACUGAAAUGUUCAGAAUAGAAAUAAACAUCAAACUUGCAGGCGGGCAACAUCAAUAACUUCCAACAAACAGCAUCAACUAGCACAUUACAAUAACCAACACCAUCAAUUCAACUUCCAACUCCAGUUCUCCAGCAAUUAUUAUAAUGAAUUCUUGAAUCCUACAAUGAGACAUAUCACAAAUUUGAGUUCAGACACUACAACUACCAUCAAAAGAUCAUCAAUGGUUAAGAAAUGAAACUGACUUACAUUUCAAUGAUAUGUAGAAAUCAAUCCUGAUCCUCUAAGUCCAAAUCUGUGUGUGCACGACCAUUUGGACAUGUGAGAUCUGUCAAGUGGUAGGUAUGAACAUGGUUAAUAAUCUCAGAUCAGACCGGCCGGUCCGACCGGUUCGACUGUAAACCGGCCGAAGAGCAGAAACCGAGUGUCUGACUGAUGCGAAUGGUCAAAAUUCGGCCGGUUGGACAGAAAUUGAUUGGCCGGUUGGACCCGAUUUUUAUGGCUACACUUUUUAAUAAAAAGUGUUGGAAGUGGGAUUUGAACUAUGGUCUUUCAAGUAGAGAGGAUGAGUGAUUACCAUCUCUACUAAUAUCACAAUUUGAUUACAACAUGCAUUUAAUGGAUACUAAUAAACAUCAUGGCAGCUAAAUUAACACUAAAAUGUAGUAGCUUACCAUAAAUUAAGUAAAUUGUACAUUAGAUCUCAAUUAUUUAAACUUCAAAUCAAUUAUAUAAUUUGUAAUUUCUUAAAAACUAAUUCAAUAACUAUACUUUUGACAAACUAAAUUAUGAUAUUGAACUCUCUAUACUACCGGUUUGAUCCAGCUCAAUCAAUAAAUCAUCUAAUCCGACUUAACUAUAUUUAUUUAUUUAUUUAAUAAUUAAAACGGUCCCACCCGGUUUUGAAAACGAUCAGACCCUGGUCGAAUCAUCAAACCCUGAACCCUAGCCUCGCCGGUUCAAUCUAUAGACCGAUUUUCAAAACCUUGGGUUUGAAGUUUGAAACUGAGAAUUAAUCAAACAAAAGACGUUUAAUUGUAAUUGGCAAGUUGAAAAUGGAAAACUAGUGUCUUAUACCUCAUUUUUCAAACUCUUCCCAACUUGCAUCAACUAGACCAUCUUACGCCUACUUUGGCUCAAUACCAGUAUCACCAUUAACAUUAUUACUAGUAGCCUCAGGCUGAGGAACUAACAGUGGGGGUUGGGAGGGAAGGGUCUGGCUACCUACACCAUUAGUUGUUGGUUGACUAUCGUUGGGUACUUCCUCAGAUAUAGCUUUGCCUCUUAAACUCUAAACGUUUCUUGCACCAACAAUCAACACUUUAGAUGGUAAACGAUGAUGCAUGUUUAUUAAACUGGAAUUCUGGAAAUCAAAACAUCAAAUUGGAGGCAUAGAGCAGCAGACUUACGCGUUCUUCUUUUGAAGAAUUUGACGGUAGCACAACAAGGAUCGGAUUCUUGAAUUUGUAUCAAUUACCAAACCAUAAAGGAUGAAAGGAUGAGAAUAGAUUAAAAUACGUAUCAUUGAUCUAUUUAUUCUAAGCGAAAUCAGAAAAAGGAAGAACAACAUGAUUGACCUGGAGAUUUGAAUUAUCAUGGAAUGGCUGAAAACUGCGAGAUUGAAGGGUUUUUUUGGUGAUACGGCGCUGGAUAUUACCUAAACCGUGGAAGAUAUUGAUGAUUCUCAGUGAAUUUCACUCCAAUCGAGCAAAAAUAGUGAGGAUCGAGAGGUUAGGGUUCGUGCAUGCGCUUUGGUGGUUUCAAAAUCGGAAAAUGAAAGGUCUUAG
rnacentral:lncRNA from 1 species